rnacentral:rRNA from 1 species
GACGAACGCUGGCGGCGUGCUUAACACAUGCAAGUCGAACGGAAAGGCCCUGCUUUUGUGGGGUGCUCGAGUGGCGAACGGGUGAGUAACACGUGAGUAACCUGCCCUUGACUUUGGGAUAACUUCAGGAAACUGGGGCUAAUACCGGAUAGGAGCUCCUGCUGCAUGGUGGGCGUUGGAAAGUUUCGGCGGUUGGGGAUGGACUCGCGGCUUAUCAGCUUGUUGGUGGGGUAGUGGCUUACCAAGGCUUUGACGGGUAGCCGGCCUGAGAGGGUGACCGGCCACAUUGGGACUGAGAUACGGCCCAGACUCCUACGGGAGGCAGCAGUGGGGAAUAUUGCACAAUGGGCGGAAGCCUGAUGCAGCAACGCCGCGUGCGGGAUGACGGCCUUCGGGUUGUAAACCGCUUUCGCCGGUGACGAAGCGUGAGUGACGGUAAUGGGUAAAGAAGCACCGGCUAACUACGUG